rnacentral:rRNA from 1 species
AGGACGAACGCUGGCGGCGUGCUUAACACAUGCAAGUCGAACGAUGAAGCCUUCGGGUGGAUUAGUGGCGAACGGGUGAGUAACACGUGGGUGAUCUGCCUCGUACUUCGGGAUAAGCUUGGGAAACUGGGUCUAAUACCGGAUAUGACCAGGGGCUGCAUGGUUUCUGGUGGAAAGAUUUAUCGGUGCGAGAUGAGCCCGCGGCCUAUCAGCUUGUUGGUGGGGUAAUGGCCCACCAAGACUGUGAUCGGUA